GACGAACGCUGGCGGCGUGCUUAACACAUGCAAGUCGAACGAUGAAGUUGGAGCUUGCUCCGGUGGAUUAGUGGCGAACGGGUGAGUAACACGUGAGCAAUCUGCCCUUGACUCUGGGAUAACUGCGGGAAACUGUAGCUAAUACCGGAUACUUUCACUGGAAGGCAUCUUCUUGCGAAGAAAGAAUUUGGGUCAAGGAUGAGCUCGCGGCCUAACAGCUUUUUGGUGAGGUAACGGCUCACCAAGGGGAGGACGGGUAGCCGGCCUGAGAGGGUGACCGGCAACACUGGGACUGAGACACGGCCCAGACUCCUACGGGAGGCAGCAGUGGGGAAUAUUGCACAAUGAGCGCAAGCCUGAUGCAGCAACGCCGCGUGAGGGAUGAAGGCCUUCGGGUUGUAAACCUCUUUUAGCAGGGAAGAAGCGAAAGUAACGGUACCUGCAGAAAAAGCACCGGCUAACUACGUGCCAGCAGCCGCCGUAA
rnacentral:rRNA from 1 species